GUUUGGGGGACUCUAAGGAGACUGCCGAUGUAAAUCCGGAGGAAGGUGGGGAUGACGUCAAAUCAUCAUGCCCUUUAUGACCUGGGCCACACACGUGCUACAAUGGGCGAUACAAAGAGAUGCAACUGCGCGAGCACAAGCCAACCUCAAAAAAUCGUUCUCAGUUCAGAUUGGAGUCUGCAACUCGACUCCAUGAAGAUGGAAUCGCUAGUAAUCGCGAAUCAGCUACGUCGCGGUGAAUACGUUCUCCGGGUUU
rnacentral:rRNA from 1 species